rnacentral:rRNA from 1 species
AGAUUGAACGCUGGCGGCAUGCCCUACACAUGCAAGUCGAACGGCAGCACGGGAGCAAUCCUGGUGGCGAGUGGCGAACGGGUGAGUAAUACAUCGGAACGUGCCCAAUCGUGGGGGAUAACGCAGCGAAAGCUGUGCUAAUACCGCAUAAGAUCUACGGAUGAAAGCAGGGGAUCGCAAGACCUUGCGCGAAUGGAGCGGCCGAUGGCAGAUUAGGUAGUUGGUGAGGUAAAGGCUCACCAAGCCUUCGAUCUGUAGCUGGUCUGAGAGGACGACCAGCCACACGUGGGACUAGAGACACGGCCAGACUCGUACGGGAGCAGCAGUGGGAAUUUUGGACAAGUGGGACGAAAGCCUAGA